rnacentral:rRNA from 1 species
AUGAUCUCUGCUAGCACCGGCAACCUCUAUCCCUUCAUUGGUAAUAAACCAGCACGGGCGUCUGCACUCCUCACCACCACCUCGGAUUUGUGGCAUCGUCGUCUCGGGCACCCCGGCGCUCAUACCCUUUCUACUAUUUCUCGUGAUUUUCUUAGUGAUUGUAACAAGGCACCACAUCUCCCAUGUAGCGCUUGUCAAUUAGGGCGCCAACUUUUGCCCCAUUUGAUUUAA